AAACACGGACCAAGGAGUCUAGCGUGUGCGCGAGUCAUUGGGUCUAAACUAAACCCACAGGCAAAAUGAAAGUGAACGUUCGCGUUCGCGAACAGAGGGAAGACGGUUCAUCUUUAUGAUGAGCCUGCACUCCCGGGGCGUCUCGUUCUCAUUGCGAGAUGAGGCGCACCUAGAGCGUACACGCUGGGACCCGAAAGAUGGUGAACUAUGCCUGGUCAGGACGAAGUCAGGGGAAACCCUGAUGGAGGUCCGUAGCGAUUCUGACGUGCAAAUCGAUCGUCGGAACUGGGUAU
rnacentral:rRNA from 1 species